GUGAAAUGAUGAUGAAGUUUAUCCAUUCUCUGAGUGCAGCUGCUCUUCCCUUCCUGUCACAUUGAGACUUCAGUUCUGUGGCCUCAAUGCUCUGUGGCUUCUAAACAUCUUCCAGGCUUCCAGUGUUCUAUUGGAGGUUGUGAGGGUGUUUGGCUAGCUACUGACUGGAUCUGGGCAGAGAAGCCAGAGCCCUUUCAUCUGGGGUUCUGACUCAACAAAGAAGAAUGAAGCCGUCUGAUCAC